AUGGCUCAGAUUGAACGCUGGCGGCAGGCUUAACACAUGCAAGUCGAGCGGUAGCAC
rnacentral:rRNA from 1 species